UCGCGCUUCCGCUCAGCUUGAAGCCCGCUUCUGUAUCUAUCCCAUGUGUCGAGGCUCCCUUAUGCUUCUUCUUCCUCUUUUCUCUGGUCCAAAAUUUGCUUACAUUGUCUCAUUUUCUCAGCAGGCGAGGCAAGGGCAAGGAUUCAGAAAAGGGGUUUUUGCUUUCUAUUGCACUCUUUUUUUCCUUGGGGCAUCUUUGCCUGCAGCAGCAGUUGAGAAGAAACCCAACGCGGAAGCGAUGGAGCCUGCCAUAAAAACCAGACGUUUUGCCGGAAGUUGAACCACGACUCCCAGACGUUUUGCCGGAAGUUGAACCACGACUCCUGAGUAGGAGUUGUAGCAGAAAACAGAAGGCGAACCUUCUGUCUUCAGGCGCACCAGAGUGCGGCUGUAGCUAUAUCUUUGUGCUUCUUUGUUUCCUUUUGACCUAGAGAGGCAAGCCUUGAUUCGGAUUUGAUAUGUUCAGCGGACGGAGGCUAGAAGCCUUCUUUCCUGUUUAUCGAGAGAGAGAGAAAGAGAGAGAGGGAGAGAGAAAAAUCUUUGAUGAACUUCAUGGUAUAUAGCUAUAGUAACUUAAAUGUCACAGCACGUGUAAGAGGAAAUCAUUCCCGACUAUUAGACGGCCUUAAUGGUACAACAAGUACGUGCUUCCGUUAACUCCUCUUUGUUUCUUCCUUUUCUCGAGUUGCACGUCGUUUUAUUUUUCCAGUAAUUCAACACACACGAGAGAGAGAGUAAGAGCUGCGGAUUGUUUAAUGGAGGCAACUGUCACUUUUGCUAUUGCUUCUAUUACUGGAGGCUUAUGAGUUAUUACCCCAGGAAGCUGCAAGGUAGGAGCAGACUCCCAAAUAUGAUACGCUUGUUAUUGGCAGGUUUUGUGUGUGUGUGUGUGUUUUUUUUACAGCAUUCCUGUUUUUUAAUGAUCAACUUCAUUAACGUAAGGAUAUGAAUCCAAUUCAACAGAUAGCCUCUUCAAGAGAUGGGCACCAGUGAAAUUCUAUAGUUGGAGGAUAUGCCUUACUACCUUCGUUUGAUUUCCACUUUGCCUUACUACCUUCGAUUAAUAUGAAAAUGAUUUUCAAUGCUACCAAAAUAUUCAUCAAUAUAUAUUCAUUCUCGAGCACCCGUUUACUGUAAGAAAAGGUCAACCAACAAUUUUUCACAGACUCCGCAAGCAUUAUUAAUCAUGUUACAUGUUUUUCAAUUGGUUUAUUUAAACAGGGAACGCUUCCAUCAUUAAUGUUCUUUUCAGCUAUCAAGAGUUGAUCCAGAGAUGGAAAAAAUCACUUGGGCCUCCAGGAUCUUGUGAGCUGUAUACGAGGAGUUUCAUAAUCUUACAGCAUAUAUCAUUUCCAUUGCAGCCUUUGGAAGUAAUUAUGAAGAAGAGAAGGACAUGUUUCAGCUGUAGAAGGAAGCAGAAGACUUUUUCAUGCAAUUCGAACACUUAUUGUCCCAGAUUCAGAUCAGAAGAGUUUUUUUUCUUUUUUUCUUUUUUGUAAAUUUAAAUACGCAUCAAAAAGACAAAAAGAUGAAAGCAGAAGUUCACUUGCACUUUUUGCCUUCACAAAGAUGGCCUCUUCUUGACAUGAAUAUGACAUAUAAUCUUCUAAGGUAUCUUUUCACUUUUCAGGCAUUCUUUGUUCAUGUGGUUGGCAUUUAUGCAACUUGGUAGUUUUAACCUUUAACUCAUGUGCUGUGUAAUGCAUGCUAUGACUUGUUUCAAGAAAGUGGUCAUCUUUGAAGAUCAUUUUAUUAAUGGUCAAAUUAUAGGGAAAGAAAUAUAUGAUAGUGAAAGGACACAAAAUAUUUGAGUACCUUCAAUUGACAUGUAUGGUAUGUUUUGGUGAUAAAAAUAUCGUCAAAGACUUUAGUGUAUCUUAGUUGUUUCGCAUGCAAAGUGCAGACACGAAGGCUGCUGGUGAUCUCAAAGCUGGAAGAAUGCCAGUUUACAGAUUUUUCUAGCUAUCAGGUGGAUUUUCUGAUAUUUUUCUGGAAAUAUUUUCCAUUUUAACAUCAACAUGAGAACUUGUGCUUCUAGAUAUUCUACUGUUAUGGUUAUUGGUGUCUCUGUCCAUUACCGGAUAGGAAGUACAAUCCAUAACCUGCUUCCACAGCUCUUGAUGUGGUUUUGGGUGGUUUGUGGUACUAUCUGAUCCUUUAUUUUUAUUCGAGGUACUGCUUGGUCUUGUUCAUUGUCACCCUUUUUUGUUAGUUGUUCACAAUUUACUAACGCUCUGUUGUUUGAAAUGGAAUUUUAAAGUGCAACCAUAAUUCUAGGAGUUUGUGGUUGAUUCCUACUAGAGAUGACAAAAGAUAGUUGCACAAAUGGCAUUGCCUUAAGCUUUUAGAAAAUAAAAUGUUGUGACAUGUCCUAUUAACUACAUUAUGCUGUUUUGUUUCACCAUUGAGUCAUUCGCUUAAUCAUUCCCUGAACAAUCAAAUGAAUAAUUGAUUUAGUAGUUCCUGAUUUGAUGGUUGAAGAAAGGACAAACUUUGUAUAAUCUUGAUGUUCUGCGGGUAUUGGACGCUGCAAAUCUUCUAGCACAAAUUCAUGGCUCUUUAUCACUGAACUCCAGAUGCAUUGGAUGAUAGUUUUGUGCAUGGUGUUAUCGCUUGCAGUUAUGUUGAGUCUUUGUGAAGCUCUGUCAAGUUGAUUAGUGGUGUUAAGCCCAAAUUCAAUUUGGGGAGUUGGGCUACUGGAGCCAGAAUAAAGUUUUCAGAUUCUGACGAUUUUAUAUCUGGUACCUCUAAAAGAGGAAGAAGAGAGACAGCUGAGGUGAGAUGAGUGGAUUGGAGAAAAUGGAGGAAGGUCUUGCUAUGUGGAGGGCGACCAUUACAAGAGCUAUUCUGGCAACAUUACUGAGGAGCACACUUCAAGGACUUUGUGCAGCAUAUCUUAAGGUAUUUGUAGCAUAAAACAAUCUUCUGGUAUGAGACCUAUGAAGCACGAGAUACUGUCUUAUCAUUGGUAACAUCGAAUUUUUGUGGAUAAAUUUUUUGUCUAA